CGGGUUAGAGCCAGGUAGGUUAGGCGUCUCAUUUGGGUUGAGAAUCUGCUAUGUUCGAAUCGUAGUAGCCCGA
rnacentral:tRNA from 1 species